rnacentral:lncRNA from 1 species
UUUUGUCAUAGUUUUGUUAUUAAUAAAAGACGGGGACAUUUAUACCCAUCAAUUUGACAAAAAAUAAAGAGAUGGACAAGGAAGAAAGCAGUACAACACCAAGAUUUUUAGACUACGAAGAGCAAAAACACGAAGAUGUCACACCAUGCAAGAAUCAAUCAGCUGAGGUAGCAGCAGAGCAAACCUCAAAAUGUAAAACAUUCCAGAAGCGCUGUGUAUCCCAGAAGUCAGAGAAAACAGAAGAAAUUUAUCAAGAUUACUAUCCAGCGGUUAGCGGCAGUGUCUUCAGAUUGGAGGGAACAGCAGGCUGCCACUGACACCGCGAAGGGCAUCUGACCUCUUGCCCAUCGGCCUUCACCUUGCUCUUCCAGGAAAGUCCAUUUUGGUAAAGAGUCAGUGUGGCCCCGGGUUCCUGGCUGCUGUGGCCCCCUGGCCUCACCCACUCACUCCCCUGGCACCUCCUUCUGUGACAUCUUCUCUGUCCCUCCCCCAGAUCCCACUGUUUCCAGUUUUUUGUUGAUUAAAAAAAAAAAUCACAGCUUUCCUUUUAAUCCAGCUUUCUUCUCCCCUCACUACUUGGUAAUCCUGCCCUCUGCCCUGCCUGUCUUGGGGACCUCUGCUUCUCUCUGAAGGUUGGGAGUAAUGAUGGGGAGUUUGAGCGAUGGCCACAGCCAGAUUACUCAGGGAGACUGUGUGACACAAGAUGAAAAGAGGGCUGAGGAACUAUAGUCAUCAUGACCCAAGAGAAGGACAGCUGCAGAGGACAUGGCCAGGAUCAUGCAGAAUGGGGUGAUGAGGAAGGGUUGGGUGUGUGCUGUCACAGAAGUCAAAGGAAAGUAUUAUAUGGAAAGGAGUUAUAUGACGUACCAGAUAACUCUGAUAUAGCAAGUAAAAUCAGGAUUGCAAAAUGUCCAUUGAAUUCAUUGACUUCAAGAAUAUGGUCCCUUGAGUGAUAGUUUGUUGGAGUUCCAAGAGUGAAGUAGAUUUAAAAUGGAUACUAGAUUAAGAAAUAAGAAAAAAGAAAGAUAGUGACCAUAUGCAACUUUUUGAGAAGUUUAUCCAUGAGGAAAGGUCACAUGGAUAAUAUAACUGGAGAGAGUUGUGGUCAAAGAAUGGAUUUUACACAAGGUGGGAGUUGUACAGUCAUACAAAAGAAAAUAUAAUAAUAUGGGAAUAGAGAGACAGGAUCUCAACAAAAGAUGUAGAAUGUUGGUCUUGGAUGAGAGGAAAACAGCCCCCUUUAUAAUUCAGGAGGACGGGGACAUGGUGAGUGCAGAUGUCGGUGGCUGGGUUUGUUUGGCCUUGGCAGGAGGAAGGAUGGGGCGUGAUGAUGGUAACGACAGCAGCCACACCCAGAGUGACCGUGUUGCCAAGUCAUUCUUUCCUCACAGUAAUCUGAAAUGAAACAGGAAGACCCAUGUGGUAGGUGUGGCAUGUGGUUGCUUGGCUGUGGUUGGUGGAGGUGGAGUAGAGCGUGGACCCCUGAGAAGUGGGGACUCAGGAACAUGGAAGUUGUCCGAAUGAGGAGUUUAAGGUGGAGCUGGAGCCCCAGACUGACUGAGUGCCCAGACUGUUGGUGUAUAUCAGGGAGGAAUGGAACAAAAAGUCACAAGCCUCAAAGGAGGAGGAUUGUAUGUUAUUUUUAAAGAGCACAUGUUGUAAUGAGUUGGAAGUGAUGAAUUGGAAUGGGCAGAAACAGCUCACUUCCCAGCCUGGAGGUAUGGGAGCAUAGGACACAAACUGCCUUGGGAGGGACUGCGGGCCAGUGGUGUCCUUCAGGAAUGAUGAGGUUCCAGAGAGGAGGUGUGUGACACUGUUGGGAGAGAGGUUGACAGAGGACAGCUUCACAACAACCUAACCUGAGAUUUCCACAGAAGCUCAUAUCUUCCCAUUGUGAUCUCCUGACUACCAAUCCUGUUGUCUUUUUAAAGUCCCAGGCCUUAGCUUCCCCUACAGUUAAAACCCUCAUCCCUG